GUGGGGAAUCUUGCGCAAUGGGCGAAAGCCUGACGCAGCCAUGCCGCGUGAAUGAUGAAGGUCUUAGGAUUGUAAAAUUCUUUCACCGGGGACGAUAAUGACGGUACCCGGAGAAGAAGCUCCGGCUAACUUCGUGCCAGCAGCCGCGGUAAUACGAAGGGGGCUAGCGUUGCUCGGAAUUACUGGGCGUAAAGGGCGCGUAGGCGGACAGUUUAGUCAGAGGUGAAAGCCCAGGGCUCAACCUUGGAAUUGCCUUUGAUACUGGCUGUCUUGAGUCAGGGAGAGGUGAGUGGAACUCCGAGUGUAGAGGUGAAAUUCGUAGAUAUUCGGAAGAACACCAGUGGCGAAGGCGACUCACUGGCCCGUUACUGACGCUGAGGCGCGAAAGCGUGGGGAGCAAACAGGAUUAGAAACCCGGGUAGUCC
rnacentral:rRNA from 1 species